rnacentral:tRNA from 1 species
CGGGGCGUGGCUCAGUCGGCUAAGAGUGCUCGGUUCGGGACCGUGAGGUCACUGGUUCAAAUCCAGUCGCCCCGA